AAAACCAUCGAGCAAUUGAACCUUUCCAGCUGUUGUGGAAUCACUAAUGACGGGGUCUUGCUGUUGUGCAAGAUGCGUGUUUUGGAGGAGCUGGAUUUAAGCUGCUGUUUCGACAUUACUGAUGUUGGAGGUCAAGGAAUCUCCACAAUUGGAACCCUCAAGAUGUUGAAGUUGCGGUCUGCAAUAACAGAAAGAACCAUUGUAGCUCUUGCUAAGAAUUGCUUAAACUUGGAGGUGCUUGAUCUAGAUGGUUGUACAGGGAUAACUACAGCCUGUAUUGAUGCAUUUUCGGGUCACAAGUGCUUGCGAUUCCUUAUUCUACUACAUUGUUUGUCUGAUGAUUUAAGAGGAUAUGCUUUCGAAAGCCUAGCAUUUGGAUGCCCUUCAUUGGAGUCGAUUGUGGUGGAAGAAAGUUGGAGAGAGAGGCUGUUGCAGGAAAUGCAAGAGAGUACUGUCAGCAGAAUUCUAGAUUUCAGGAGAAAUUUGGUUGCUUAGCACCUUGUAUUGUUUGAUGUAUCAGCUUUUUAUGUGUGAUGGUGCUUUCGAACUAACUAGAGAUGUAUUGCUGCUGAACUAUUUGGUUUGCUGUGAAUUUUAUAAACCGGAAGGCUCAUUGAGUUGUUCGGGUCUGAAUCCAUGACUACGAGGUCUUGACUUCCUGCACAAGAAUUUCAAGAGGCUCCCUUCCUACAGUUCAUCCUGAAAAACCAAAGCACAAAACAAUCUGAUUAGUAAAUGUACUAGUUACGCAGUUGAGUUAACUAGCGACCAACUGAAAGUAAGACAUCAAGCCUCUUCCAGUUUAAAUUCAGCAUCAGAGUCCUGUCCGGAAUCAGCAUCUUCAUCUUCAUCCUCAACCUGCAAAACAAGUGGAGGCCACAGUUAGGACCACAAACAGAAGAAGAAGAUGAAUCCAAGACUUUUCAGGUAACGGUUCCCAGUUACAGCCGGAAAAGAUAAACCAAAGAGU